rnacentral:misc_RNA from 1 species
GAUGAAGAACGCAGCGAACGUGCGAAACGUAAUGUGAAUUGCAGAAUUCAGUGAAUCAUCGAAUCUUUGAACGCAUCUUGCGCUCCUUGGUAUUCCGAGGAGCAUGCCUGUUUGAGUGUCGUGAAUACUCUCAACUUCAACCCUUUUUUCGGAAAGGGAGGAAGGUUGGACUUGGGUGUUUGUUGAAGUGCGAGCUUCGACUCAUCCUAAAUGCAUUAGCGAUCUGCUUCGAUCACACACAAUGUGAUAAUUAAAACUAAAGCAUUGUUUAAUGAUCAAGUCGAGACUGCUUCUAACUGUCGCAAGACAAUAACGUGCAUACAUUUGUGCAUGUCAUUUGACCUCAAAUCAGGUAGGACUACCCGCUGAACUUAAGCAUAUCAAUAAGCGGAGGA